AAACCAGGUGCAGAGUUUGCCAAACAAGGUCCAUAAGCCACAAUCCGGAGUCAGAGUCCACAAAGCAAGGUUCAGUUGAAGGACUGUGAAGAAAAGAAAGUACAGUAAUGGAAAAUGUUUUAGGCCGUGACAAAAAAGAUAACUCAGUUAGGAAUUGCAUCAAGGGUAUAAAUAUGAGCAGACAUUCUCUCUCUUUCAAUCAACUGGGAGAAAGUGUCACCUAAUGGUAUUGCGUGCCAAAACAUACACCCUGUAAAACAAUCUUGUUUACACAAUAAAUGCCUAAGUAAUGGAGCUCGCUGCAAGAAGAUGUGGCCUUGGCUACUAGCCCAGAGCCUUAUUCAUCUAACACUUGUGUCCCGCUCUGAUGGCAGACACGAA